rnacentral:rRNA from 1 species
AUUGAACGCUGGCGGCAGGCCUAACACAUGCAAGUCGAGCGAGCGGCGGACGGGUGAGUAAUGUAUGGGGACUGCCCGAUAGAGGGGGAUAACUACUGGAAACGGUAGCUAAUACCGCAUACUAUCGGAUAACCCAUAUGGGAUUAGCUCGUAGGUGCGGUAAUGGCUCACCUAGGCGACGAUCCCUAGCUGGUCUGGGAGGAUGAUCAGCCACACGGGGACGGGGACACGGCCCGAACUCCUACGGAGGCAGCGGGGGGGAAUAUUGCACAAUGGACGAAGGCCUAAUGCGGCCAUGCGGCGUGUAUGAAGAAGGCCCUAGGUUUGUAAAGUACUUUCAGUCGGGAGGCGUUACCGGCAGAAGAAGCACCGGCUAACUCCGUGCCAGCAGCCGCGGUAAUAC